AAAAAAAAAACAACAAGGAAACCGAGGGAAGAAAGAAGAGUCCAGAAAAAAAUAAGAAGGAAAGAGAGGGAAGACUUUAGAGGGGCUAGCAGAGGACGUGAGACAGGGAGGGUGGUGUGCCGACCUCUUUGAUCUCUUCAUAGCUGCCAUGGUUUGUACCGGGAGGAUUUGUGAGUUGUGUUUACAAGGUUAAGGUUCAUUACAUGAUCGUACGUUAGGAAGAGAUGGUCUGUAUUGCUCUUGAACAUGUACAUGGAAGCUUUGAUGGACAGAGUUUAAAGUUGAAUUCAAAGGUUCACUUGCCUCAAGUGACCAGUUGGUCGGUGGUUUCUGCGAUUACGCGAGGGACGUGGAAGUAAUGGCAUGAUAGCUGAUUAGCCGGUGAGUGAAUAGUGAACUUACUCGAUACACUGGAUCCAUAAUUACUUAUGGUUCUGCACAUGCAUCAGAUUUGAAGUCAGUGGCACAUUUGAGAUCUUUGUACAUUCUAUUCUAUUACCGUUUACCUGACUCGCGAUGGCACCAUUGGUUCGUAUAUUAUUUGGGACGAGUUCUGAGUUACUGUUCACUAUUUGAUAUGAUUUCGGUGUCUAAUUUCGAUGUUAUUCUGAUACUGAGACUUAUUCCGACGCUACUCUGAUAUUGUUUUCGAUUCUGGAAUCACUUUGAUGUUUAUCUUGAUUCUGAAAUCACAUGCUAUUCUGAUAAUCUGAUUUUUGGGAGUGACUUUGUCAAAGUAUUGUAUGCUAACGACAGUAAUCGUUAGCCUUGGUGCACCAAGCUUGUUAUGGCACUUCGUGUGCUGCCUACUACGGCACUGUGUAUGCUACCUGUUGUCUCUGUACAGAAGUCCUCCCACCUCACUAUUGUUAAUGGAUAUCUGCUAAUUUGAAAGAUUUGACAAACAUUUUGAUUUCUAUGUUAUCGGAUUAUUCGUCCCUUUCAACUUGUUUGUCCCCCUUUGUAUUGCUUAAAGGGAAAAUUAAAUAUAAGUUCUUCAUGGGAGAGCUUUGUUUUCUAAUAGGGACAUUCUUAAAA